UUGAUCCUGCCAGUAGUCAUAUGCUUGUCUCAAAGAUUAAGCCAUGCAUGUCUGAGUACAGACCGAUCUAAGGUGAAACCGCGAAUGGCUCAUUAAAUCAGUCGUAAUUUCUUGGAUAGUGAAAAACUUUCCUCGGAUAACUGUGGAAAAUCCAGAGCUAAUACGUGCAACUGAGCUCCGACCUGGGCGCRAGCCUUGGGAAGAGCGCAUUUAUUAGAUUCAAAACUGACCGGCGUACUCCUUCGGGAUACGUCGUUCGUCAAAUGUUUGAUGACUCCGGAUAACUUAGCCGAGCGCUACGGUCUUUAGUACCGGCGCCGUAUCUUUCAAGUGUCUGCCUUAUCAGCUUUCGAUUGUAGGUUAAACGCCUACAAUGGCUGUAACGGGUAACGGGGAAUCAGGGUUCGAUUCCGGAGAGGGAGCCUGAGAAACGGCUACCACAUCUAAGGAAGGCAGCAGGCACGCAAAUUACCCACUCCCAGCCCGGGGAGGUAGUGACGAAAAAUAACGAUGCGAGACUCUUCCGAGGCCUCGCAAUCGGAAUGAGUCCAUCCUAAAUCUUUGGACGAGGAUCCAUUGGAGGGCAAGUCUGGUGCCAGCAGCCGCGGUAAUUCCAGCUCCAAUAGCGUAUAUUAAAGUUGCUGCGGUUAAAAAGCUCGUAGUUGGACUUUCUAGAUCCAUUUCGUGGGUGGGUCGCUCGUUGUACUGGCGAUUCGCGCCAGUCACUGGUCGACGUCGUGCGGAGAGUCGUACUUYUACUAAGUUGGCUUUACGGCUUUCGAUAGGGGAGACUUCCCUCUCUCGGCAAACUUUCCAGCGGACGGCGUUUCUCGGUCUUCGGGUAUAGCUCGCCCGCGUUUGGUACAAUUAAAAUUUUGUCGGCUCGCUCGGAGUGCUCUUUACCGAGUGUUCCAGGGUGGCCGACACGUUCACUUUGAAAAAAUUAGAGUGCUUAAAGCGGGCUGUAAAAACGGCCGGAAUGUCUGUGCAUGGAAUGAAGUAACAGGACCUCGAUUCUGUUCUUUUUGUCGGUUUUAAUGAACCGAGGUAAUGAUUAAAAGGGACAGACGGUGGCAUUAGUAUUGCGACGCUAGAGGUGAAAUUCUUGGACCGUCGCAAGACUAACUACUGCGAAAGCAUUUGCCGAGAAUGUUUUCAUUAAUCAAGAACGAAAGUUAGAGGAUCGAAGGCGAUCAGAUACCGCCCUAGUUCUAACCCUAAACUAUGCUAACUAGCGAUCCGCCGAAGUCAUUCCCACGACUCGGCGGGAAGCCCCAGGGAAACCAAAGUCUUUGAGUUCCGGGGGAAGUAUGGUUGCAAAGCUGAAACUUAAAGGAAUUGACGGAAGGGCACCACCAGGAGUGGAGCCUGCGGCUUAAUUUGACUCAACACGGGAAACCUCACCAGGCCCGGACAUCAUAAGGAUUGACAGAUUGAGAGCUCUUUCUCGAUUU
rnacentral:rRNA from 1 species